GCCUGGAUGCUAAAGUUCGUGGGUUUCUGAAUGUGUGCUUCAGAAAAAAUAAACGUUUAUUGUAUUGUAACCAAGCGUAGCUGGACAAUUACAAGAUCAUUCAUUUCCAUGAAGUUGAAGACCAGGGCAGCAUGGUGGUGCAGGGGGUAGCACUGUCGCCUCACAGCAAGAAGGUCCUCUGUUCUGGGUCCGGCCUGGCCUUACUGUGUGGAGUUUGCAUGUGUGGGAGUUUCCACAGGCACAGUCCAGUCAACUGAAAUUCGUAACACAACGCAAGCACACGCUGCAGUUUCAAGCGCCACAGCAUUAUAGCAGAGGGUCUGUGCAGAGGGAGUGCGCCGGACGGAGCGAGGCCCACAGCGGUAAUGUAAAGGCAUCUAUGCGGGCCACGUCCACGCCGCCGCGUCCGCGCGGCUGGCCGAGCCGCCCACCCCAGCCCCCGAAACGUGGAAGCGGGAGGGCCCCCUGGGACCGGGGCUGUGCCGGGCCUGGCGCACCGCUCAUUACUCUUACAUUAAAACCAGUCACGAGGAAAAUUGCUACGGACCCCCACACCACCUGGACCAGUCCAUCCGCCCGCCCACCCACCCACCCCCCAUGUCCAACCCCGCCGCGGCAGCGUGCACCAGAGCAGACAGAAGUGGAGACGGUGGCGCCGUGCCACUUCCUUAAGCUCCUGUGUGUCAUGAGGACGGUUCAGUUUAAGCAAGGCCAGCGUAUGCAUUCACAUAAGAGACCCACGCAUAUGUAAAGCCAGGCUCAUGUCACUACCGCGCACACUCAUGUUUCAAAAGAGUAGGAAGCUAAAUCAUGAAAAGAUUGGGACAUGUUGAUCUAAGAUGUAGCUAAAACAUUUUUUUUUUAUUAUUAUUAUUUCUGUUAUUCACAUUGAAACAGUAAAAACAGUAACAUGUAUGUCCCUUGUGCUGACAUUCUGUAUCUCGGACAACACUGUAAUCCUGUCCUUGUUCAGAUAUCCCACAAUAAAUAUGACUCCAACGAAAAAUGUAUCUCUCUGCUGACUUUCAUACAGAGUACAAAAUCUAGGUGCAAAAAGUCUUUGUCAGAUGUGGAGAUUAGAGUACAUUGAAUCCCAUUUCAUUGUCUAUUGUGUUAUUGAAAUAAAUUGUCUGACAUGCACAUAAAAUGGCAAUAUGUGACCCUGAAUAUGUGCUACAACAAAGGAGCUCCCAUUCCAUUUUGUUUUUAUUCCCUGACAUUAUCUCCAGUCCCUCAAAUCACUGGUCUUUACACACAUUCUCCC